CUGAAAGAAUAUUGGCAGAUUUCUUAAAUUAUCUUUGGAGGUUGAGUGGUAAUUGAGAGCCCUCAUUAUCUACUUUUUUUUUAGGCUCAUGUAUGAUCGUUUAUUUUAUGCUUGAGGUUUAGGAGUUAAUUUUGUUAGGUUGUAAAAAUAGAUAUAUAUUUGGUUUAUAAGUGAAGUUUUAUUUGACCUACAUUGUUUAUGAAGUUGGAUUAUUGAUUUAGUGUCAAUAUGAAAUUGUAAAAGACAGUAAAGAGGUUUUUAUGUUUUCUUGAAGAUUAUUUGAGAGUGGUACAAAUCAUCC
rnacentral:rRNA from 1 species